rnacentral:rRNA from 1 species
AGUCGAACGAUCGACUUUUGUGCUUGCACAGAAUGAUUAGGGWUUAACGGGUGAGUAACACGCGAGUGACCUGGCCCUGACKCUGGGAYAAGCCUGGGAAACUGGGUCUAAUACCGGAUAUGCACCGUGGACCGCAUGGUUCUUGGUGGAAAGAAUUUUGGNCAGGGAUGGACUCGCGGCCUAUCAGCUUGUUGGUGAGGUAAUGGCUCACCAAGGYGACNACGKGUAGCCGGCCUGAGAGGGUGACCGGCCACACUGGGACUGAGACACGGCCCAGACUCCUACGGGAGGCAGCAGUGGGGNUAAUAUUGCACAAUGGGCGAAAGCCUGAUGCAUCGACGCCGCAUGAGGGAUGACGGCCUUCGGGAUGUAAACCUCUUUCAGUACGGAAGAAGCGAAAGU